rnacentral:lncRNA from 1 species
AUGUCCUCAGAGUGGGCAGGUCCUCAAAACAAGAAGACGCACCCUUUGAGGGCACAAUGCAGGUACAGCUCUAGAAUUCUCCACUCUAGAACCUGCCCCUCCUCUCCCAGAGCUGGCCCUCCCCCUGCCCAGUCCAGAGCUGUGCCAGCCCCCGCCCUGAGCUUGCAGCCCCAUCACUCCCUGCCUCUGCCGCAGUCCCAGCAAGUCUUCAGAAGUGUGGCUGCUGCCUCAAGAGGGACGCAGUUCCCACCCAGCAUCCCCUACCACCCUGGCCCCUGCCCUCUGACACAAGUCAGGUCUCAGCUGUGCCCCCCAAGACUGGUGAAACUGGACCACCACACCCCCUUCCAUGCACUGCCCUCCGUGAAGGGCAGCAGCAGGCAGAAGCUGGAUCACAGAACCUUCACGGAGCAGGGCAAGCGCCAUGAUAGCUAUCAAGAUCGUCUCUACAACCGAGGCCCCGGUGGAGUUCUCCCGCAAGCUCCUACCCCGUGGGAUCUCUGUCACUCAACGCUACCUACAAGCACCUGAACAUGUGGGCAGAAGCCUGGACACAGCCUGUCCCCACCCUCCGCCUCCCCAAGGGGACCUGAAGUGCGAGAACAUCCUGCUGGACAACCAUGGCCUUCUCAAGCUGACCGGUGGGCCCACAGCCCCCACCCUGGGGUUGAAUGCCUCCACCUGCAGGGGCCCACACCCCACACUUGUCCCAGCCAGGCCCCUGCAUUCAGCCCUCCCAGAAGGCCUGCAGGCCACCCUUACCCUCGGGCCUGAGGUCACUGGCCUAACCCCCACGUGUGCCCCCAGACCAGGCCCACCUCAUCCACACCCACACUCUUGCUGUCGGCCACACACUGCAUGCAACCCCGCAAACCUCCACAGCCAUCCCUGCAGACUGGCGUCCUCAAGUCCCUCUCCCUGCACCCCUGCCCCUCACGCAUAGUGCCACCCUCCCCACACACCUCGUACAGACUUUGGCUUCGCAGGCUGCAUAGGGCCCAGGAACUCACCGCUCAGCACUUUCGGCGGCUCCCCAGCCUACACAGAGAUCCUCAUGAGCAGCAAGUAUAGCGGGGAGUGGGCCGACCUGUGGAGUCUGAGUGCCCCCAGGGCACCCAGACCCUGUGGCCAGGGCCCACGGGAGGGCUGGGUAAGGGCCACACCCUUAGGAGCUCGUGCCCCCAGAGGUCUCACCUUCUAUGCCAUGGUGAGUGGGAAGCUGCCCUUCAAGGAGCGCCAGCCCCACUGCAUGCUGCACCUCAUGCACCGCGGUCCCACCUUCUGGCCAGGUCUGUUCCCAG